GACGAACGCUGGCGGCGUGCCUAAUACUUGCAAGUAGAACGCUGAAGGAGGAGCUUGCUUCUAUGGAUGAGUUGCGAACGGGUGAGUAACGCGUAGGUAACCUGCCUGGUAGCGGGGGAUAACUAUUGGAAACGAUAGCAAAUACCGCAUAAGAGUAGAUGUCGCAUGACAUUUGCUUAAAAGGUGCAAUUUUAUCACUACCAGAUGGACCUGCGUUGUAUUAGCUAGUUGGGGAGGUAACGGCUCACCAAGGCAACGAUACAUAGCCGACCUGAGAGGGUGAUCGGCCACACUGGGACUGAGACACGGCCCAGACUCCUACGGGAGGCAGCAGUAGGGAAUCUUCGGCAAUGGACGGAAGUCUGACCGAGCAACGCCGCGUGAAUGAAGAAGGUUUUCGGAUCGUAAAGCUCUGUUGUAAGAGAAGAACGAGUGUGAGAGUGGAAAGUUCACACUGUGACGGUAUCUUACCAGAAAGAGACGGCUAACUACGUG
rnacentral:rRNA from 1 species